ACACCUAGGGAAGCGCAGGGCUGGGAGUGUGAGACGUGCAGACCUUGAAUAUCUAGGGCUUGCUCAGGACAGGGCCGAGCGAGCGCCGCGACUACUUGUCCCAGAAAUCCUCGCGCUCGAGGUCUGCUUCCGGUUGGUCGUUCCUGACUUCCCGGCAGCGGGUGGCUUCCCAGACCCGGACGGAAACUCCGAGGCAACUCCUCACUUGUCUGACUUCUUUGCGGUGCGACCGAUUUCCGCAUAUGCGCAGUGGGUGUCUGCAGUGCCCACAGGUCGUCUAAGUGGCAGCGCGGUCGCUCCGAGUGUGUUGUAUUUGAUAGGGACAGAUGGUGGAGACAGGUGGAUCCCAGGUUGCACUAGGAAGUGUGGAAGGGGACCCGCGAGCCCGAGGAUGCAACCAAGGGAAGAUGGACAUCUCAAGAGGAAAAGUUUGGAGAUUCAGUUGGGAAACAGGUGUAUGGAGAUCUGCUACACUGAUUGAGAGGAGGCCUGAGUUCAGUUCCCAGCACCCACAGUGGGUAGCUCACAGCUGCCCGGAACUCCUGUCCUGGAAGAACUGACGCCCUCUGGUAGUCCCUGCAGGCAACUGCAUGCCUAUGCACCGACCUCGAAACACGGAGUUAAAAAAUAAAUCUCAACUUCACAUUUAAAAA